UACAGAGGGGGCAAGCGUUAUUCGGAAUUAUUGGGCGUAAAGGGCGCGUAGGCGGCUUUGCAAGUGGCGGGUGAAAUCCCUCGGCUUAACCGAGGAACUGCCUGCCAGACUGUGAGGCUUGAGACCGGGAGAGGUGAGUGGAAUUCCCAGUGUAGCGGUGAAAUGCGUAGAUAUUGGGAGGAACACCAGUGGCGAAGGCGGCUCACUGGACCGGAACUGACGCUGAGGAGCGAAAGCGUGGGGAGCGAACAGG
rnacentral:rRNA from 1 species